UACAGUUCUGUGGUGUCCAUGUCUCUCCAGGCCUAUUACCCUAGGACAAAUUAGGCCUAAUGUUGCAUAGAAGAGGAGCUGAACAAGAAGGUGUCUCCUGGAUGACUCUUGAUUCGAGGCUGAUGCCAGUGGGGAAAAGCUCACCGCUGUGAGCAUCAUGAAAGAGGUCAACUGAACACGAGAUGCGGCUCAUUACACCAUGGACUUGCAUUGGUGAUACUGAAGCAUUCUGUGACUUGAGGUACCACUAAGAAGAACAAAAGCCUGAUGGUAGACUCUAGGAUGCCAUGGUCACCAAAGCAUGUUUUGACCUCAGCUCUGCUGCCAUGGGAACUGAUGUGGCCAUCACCAGGGGAGCGAACGCCUACAGCGCAUAGUCAUCUGAGGGGCUGUGAAGAAGACCAGCCAAUCUGCUUCAUGUGACUCCUAAAGCCAGG
rnacentral:lncRNA from 1 species